CCUCGCGCGAUUGGAGCGGCCGAUGUCAGAUUAGGUAGUUGGUGGGGUAAAGGCUCACCAAGCCAACGAUCUGUAGCUGGUCUGAGAGGACGACCAGCCACACUGGAACUGAGACACGGUCCAGACUCCUACGGGAGGCAGCAGUGGGGAAUUUUGGACAAUGGGCGCAAGCCUGAUCCAGCAAUGCCGCGUGCAGGAAGAAGGCCUUCGGGUUGUAAACUGCUUUUGUACGGAACGAAACGGUCUGAGUUAAUACCUCGGGCUAAUGACGGUACCGUAAGAAUAAGCACCGGCUAACUACGUGCCAGCAGCCGCGGUAAUACGUAGGGUGCAAGCGUUAAUCGGAAUUACUGGGCGUAAAGCGUGCGCAGGCGGUGAUGUAAGACAGUCGUGAAAUCCCCGGGCUCAACCUGGGAAUUGCGAUUGUGACUGCAUCGCUGGAGUGCGGCAGAGGGGGAUGGAAUUCCGCGUGUAGCAGUGAAAUGCGUAGAUAUGCGGAGGAACACCGAUGGCGAAGGCAAUCCCCUGGGCCUGCACUGACGCUCAUGCACGAAAGCGUGGGGAGCAAACAGGAUUAGAUACCCUGGUAGUCCACGCCCUAAACGAUGUCAACUGGUUGUUGGGUCUC
rnacentral:rRNA from 1 species